GGGCCUGUAGCUAAAUGGUUACGGCAGCGUGCUCAUAACACGACGAUAUGGGGGUUCAAGUCCCUCCAGGCCCACCA
rnacentral:tRNA from 1 species